CCUACGGGUGGCAGCAGUGGGGAAUCUUGCGCAAUGGGGGGAACUCUGACGCAGCCAUGCCGCGUGAAUGAAGAAGGCUUUCGGGUUGUAAAGUUCUUUUGGUGAUGAGGAAGGUGAUAAGGUUUAUACCCUUAUUAAUUGACGUUAGUCACAGAAGAAGCACCGGCUAACUCCGUGCCAGCAGCCGCGGUAAUACGGAGGGUGCGAGCGUUAGUCGGAAUUAAUGGGCGUAAAGGGGACGCCGGCGGAUUUUUAAGUGAGGUGUGAAAGCCUCGGGCGUAACCUGGGAAUUGCAUUUCAGACUGGGGAUCUAGAGUACUUGAGGGAGGAGUAGAAUUCCACGUGUAGCGGUGGAAUGCGUAGAUAUGUGGAGGAAUACCGGAGGCGAAGGCAGCCCCUUGGGAAUGUACUGACGCUCAUGUGCGAAAGCGUGGGGAGCAAACAGGAUUAGAUACCCGGGUAGUC
rnacentral:rRNA from 1 species